GUAUAAGAGACAGCAGUAGCCACGGGAAUACGGAGGGUGCAAGCGUUAAUCGGAAUUACUGGGCGUAAAGCGCACGCAGGCGGUCUGACAAGUCAGAUGUGAAAUCCCCGGGCUUAACCUGGGAACUGCAUUUGAAACUGUCAGGCUGGAGUCUUGUAGAGGGGGGUAGAAUUCCAGGUGUAGCGGUGAAAUGCGUAGAGAUCUGGAGGAAUACCGGUGGCGAAGGCGGCCCCCUGGACAAAGACUGACGCUCAGGUGCGAAAGCGUGGGGAGCAAACAGGAUUAGAUACCCGUGUAGUCCCUGUCUCUUAUAC
rnacentral:rRNA from 1 species